ACGACCUUGGUUCAAAGUUCUUGCUUUGCAAACUAUAUUCUACGUCUUAGCUGUGGCUGGACAUGGCCUUGUUGUGCCCAAUACACAUGUUUUGUUGUGGCAUGCUCUUCGUGAUUGUUACAUUUUUUUUUUGUUUCCUUCCAUAGGCUAUCAUCCUGUGUGCAAAUAUGGUUUAUUUCUUUGAAAUGUGGAGAUCAUCGUUUAGAAUUUUGAGCAUUAUAUAUCGGUUCAAAGAUUUUAAUUACUCAGUUGGUUUCAAUUUUUUGAUCUGUCAAUGUAUGAAUGAUGCAGGUUCCCAAAAGGGGUCCCUUGGGUCCGGUAUCAUGGGUUUUACAAAGAUCUUCAUAUUAAUUUAGUUUGGCCUGGAAAAGAUUCAUCUUUAGGAGUUGAUUGUGUAGGCACAGUUUCUGCGUCUCUUGUGACCUAUGCUG